rnacentral:lncRNA from 1 species
AAAUGAAACAUCAUUGGAAAUAGUAAAUACAUGGAGUUUCACCUGCCACCUGGAUCGUUUCCUAUUUUUCUGCAGCCACUUCAGGGCGGGGACCCAGUAUCACGAAGCUGCAAGGUAAAAAGGAUCAAACCUUAACUGCCUGCAUGUGCUCACAGGAACAUAACUGAGUGAGGCUCACCAGCAACCAGGAAGUGAGCUGAGCCUAACAUAUGGGAGAGAUCCUGUCUCAUCUGCAGAGAAGAGCUGCUAUAUAGGAAAGUAUCUGCUCAUUGCUGCCAUGUGGGAAUGCUGGUAUUGCUGGACUUUCUGAUAUUUUAGGAGAAACUGCUGAUCUGUACAUGAAGUCUGAUAUAUAAAUGAUGAUACUAUAUUUAUAUAUCUAUGGAUAAAUAAAUAAUGUCAACUGGUUCCA